GACGAACGCUGGCGGCGUGCUUAACACAUGCAAGUCGAGCGGAGCGGCGAACGGGUGAGUAACGCGUGAGUAACUGCCCCCCUCUCUGGGUUAACAGUUGGAAACGGCUGCUAAUACCGGAUAGUGGGGGAUGACUCGCGUCCUAUCGGCUUGUUGGUGGGGUGUUGGCCUACCAAGGCGACGAGGGGUAGCCGGCCUGAGAGGGGGACCGGCCACAUAGGGCUGAGGUACGGCACAAACACGUACGGGAGGGAUGAGGGGGGAAUAUUGCACAAUGGGGGAAGCCCUGAUGAAGCAACGCGCGGGCGGGAUGACGGUCUUCGGGUUGAAAACCGCGUUGAGCCAUGACGCGGUAGUGGCAGAAGAAGCACCGGCUAACUACGUGCCAGCAGCCGCGGUAAUUC
rnacentral:rRNA from 1 species